rnacentral:rRNA from 1 species
UACGCCCUACGGGGGGCAGCAGUGGGGAAUAUUGCACAAUGGGGGAAACCCUGAUGCAGCAACGCCGCGUGAAGGAAGACGGUUUUCGGACUGUAAACUUCUGUUCUUAGUGAAGAAUAAUGACGGUAGCUAAGGAGCAAGCCACGGCUAACUACGUGCCAGCAGCCGCGGUAAUACGUAGGUGGCAAGCGUUGUCCGGAAUUACUGGGUGUAAAGGGAGCGCAGGCGGGAAGCCAAGGCAGCUGUGAAAACUCCGGGCUUAACUUGUAGACUGCAGUUGAAACUGGUUUUCUUGGGUGAAGUAG